UAAGGAAUAUUGGUCAAUGGACGCAAGUCUGACGGAGCGACGCCGCGUGAGCGAAGAAGGUCUUCGGAUCGUAAAGCUCUGUUGUUAGGGAAGAAGAAGCGCCGUUCGAACAGGGCGGCGCGGUGACGGUACCUAACGAGAAAGCCCCGGCUAACUACGUGCCAGCAGCCGCGGUAAUACGUAGGGGGCGAGCGUUGUCCGGAAUUAUUGGGCGUAAAGCGCGCGUAGGCGGCUUUGCAAGUCGGGUGUGAAAUCCCCGGGCUUAACCUGGGAACUGCAUUCGAGACUGCAUUGCUAGAGUAUGGGAGAGGGAAGUGGAAUUUCCGGUGUAGCGGUGAAAUGCGUAGAUAUCGGAAGGAACAUCAGUGGCGAAAGCGACUUCCUGGACCAAUACUGACGCUCAUGUGCGAAAGCGUGGGGAGCAAACAGGAUUAGAUACCC
rnacentral:rRNA from 1 species